CCUGCGUCUGGGCGCGUCCUCCCGCCUUGCUUGGCUGCAUCUGGAGGCGUCUUCCCGCUCAGCUCUGCUAGAACAGCUUUGGCUGCCCGAGUCUGGGCGCGUCCUCAGCCACGGGACUGGAUCUCGGAUGUGCCCCGAUGCCUGGGUCUUGGAGAACAGGCACAGCCCGGAUCUAGGCGCAUCUCCCCUGGAGGGCCCAGCCUCCUCCAUCAUCCUGCUUUUAUGGAGUUUCUGCUAUUGUGGAAUUUCUUUCCAUGGGGGAGAAACUAUUCAGCCUGGGGCCCAUCUAUCUUCUGCUUCAGAGGAUGAAAGGGAGAGCCUGACUCAGAGCACGAGGAAGUGGACCCUGGAGACAGGAGCAGCAAAGUGCUGAAGACAUUCUUUGAGCCCUAGAUCCAGCCAUGUCUGCAGCCAAGAAGUCCUCUCACAUAAACCACUUUAAAGUUGAUUUCUGUCACUUGUGGCCAAGAGUUUUGUUUAAUAGACCCUCCCCGAAAAUUUUGUCACUGCAGCUUUGUCAAUCAUUUCCUCAUACAAGGGGUUGAUGGUGACCUAGGGCCCACGGGAUUCAUUUCAGAGCUGUAUUUCCAUAGCAAACUUUGUUUUUAUUUGAAUUUCAUGUGUGUUUGGGGUGGUUUAGUAGGUGGGAUGGAUUUGUGUGUAUGCUUCUUUUAGAAGAAAGUUCCCAUAAACCUCCUUACAUGUCCAUGCUGACACUGUGUUGAUUUAAAUGGCUGAUAAAAAUUACUGAGGGAGAUCCAGUCAGAGACACAGCCUUGUUAUUUGUCACUGGAAACCAAGUGCAAAUUGAUAGUAGCUAACAGUAUUUGGGUACCAUGGUUUAGCUUUCUUUCAUCCAGGUCAUACUGUUGGUAAGAAUGUAAACUGUUACAGCUGCUGUGGAAAACAGUUGACAGUUCCUUAAAAAGUCAAAUAUAGAAUUAUCAUAUUCUUUAUAAUAACACACAGGUGUAAACCACACAAACAUCCAUCAACACAUGAAUGGAUAAACAAGAUGUGGUAUAUGCAUACAACAGAACAGUAUUCAGCUUCAAAGAAUAAUAAAAUUUUUAUAACUGCAAAACAUGGAUGAACCUUGAAAGCAUCAUGUUAAGUGAAAUAAAUCAGACACAGAAUAACAAAUAUUGUAUGAUUCCACUUAUAGUGGUACCUAGAAUAGACAAAUUCAUAAGACAGAAAGUAGAAUAGAGAUUACCAGGGGCUGGGAGGAGGGGAGAAUGGGGAGUUAUUGUUUAAUGGGUACAGAGCUUCUGUUUGGGAUGAUGAAAAAGAUCUAGAAGUGGAUAGUGGUGAUGUUUAUACAACAUCAUGAAUAUACUUAAUGCCACUGAAUUGUAUGUGGUUAAAGUGGUAAGUUUUAUAUUAUAAAUAUUUUACCAUGUAAAAUGAAAAAAAAGUAUUUUGCAGAAAAAAAUCAGUAGUUCCUUUUAAAUAAUUUAGCAUGAAUAUCAACAAAAGUUCAAUAUUUGUUUACUACAUUUUUUCAUGUAAAAUUUAUAUAUAAUGAACUGUACAAAUUUUAAGUAUACAAAUUUUUGAGUUUUAACAAAUGUGUACACCUAUAUAACCCUAAUACCUACCAAGAUAAAGAAUAUUAUCAUCAUCUCAGGACAUUAUCAUCCCUCAGGCCUUUCCCAGUGAAACGCUCUGAUGUGAUUUUUAAGAGCAGAACUGAGAAUUCAAAGCCAAGGAUUUGCUUUUUGCUUCUACCCGUGUUUACCCUCCCCCUGAGUGUUGUGUGAUUAGCUGAAUCACUAGAUUAGCUGAAUCUUGUGCUGUCCCAGAAUAUAGAAGAAGGGGAAAGGAUACAGAAAGCUGGGGAAAGGACAUUUCUGUCCCAAUGUUGGGAUAUGAGGUGUGUAUGUUGGGGGAAGGGGAGGCAAAGAGAACAAACGUUCUGGGAUGCAGACCAGAGCCAGUUUUUCAUUCUCACUAAAGCAGUCUUAUCAGAACUGUUCCUUGGUAUAUUCCUUGUCCAUCUCUCCUUUGGCUUUUAGCAAGAUCCCUCCCUACCACUCUUGGCUGAGGCCAAUGACUUUGAGCCAACAGUCCAGGACUCUCAGAGAAGCUCUGUGUUCUGAGACUUCCUCGGACUACCCUGGAAGCCAGCUGGCCAGUGACAGUUCCUUAUGUGUGUGCUCUACGAAUGGACUGGUCAAGGAGUGUCAGUGUGAAUCUCAGGAGGAUAAAUCUCCCAAAUAGGAGACUUGCCUUUAUUCUGGUUAUCUAAGGACAGUCUGUUUCUCUCCCACCUCCUCCUCCUUUUUCACCAAUUCUUUAAUUUUUAAAAAAAUUGAACUAUACUUCUGAAUAUGUUACCUCAUGAGAGUGAUGCAUGUUAAUCAUUUUUUAAAAAUGGAAAUAGUACAGCACCAAGAGAAAGUGCCUCCUUUAAGCGCCUCCAGGAUGCAAAUCUGGUUUAUAUCCUUGGGGAACUUUAAAAAACGCACAUGUAAGAAUGUGUACGUCUCUCUAUAUCUUAAAAAAUUAUAUCAAAUUAUUCAUACUGAUUUACUACUUGCUUUUGUUCACUGAAAAUUAUGUUUCGGAGACAUGACUGUAUUUCUUCUGUCACAAUUUGAACAAUUGACUUUGAGAAAAUGACUCAUGUAAAUAAUUUCCUCAGAGAUCUAUUUCCUUUUUUAGUUUAUUUUUUUCAAAAUCAUGUUGAUUAAUUCCAGUGUCUCAAGUAAAACUUUGGUUAUAAAAUAACAUGGUUGGCCAAGAAAAACAACGUAUGUACUCACAGUUUUCCAUCCAUUGACUUUUGAACAUUUUAAAGGAGAUUCCCUCUUCCUCUAAGGUUGGUUUUGAGGCGAGCUUAAGUAAGAAAUAUACUGAGCCAUUUCUUUACUGGGAGAUGAGAAACAAAUAAUUAAAACACACAACAAAGCAAGGAAGAGAAACUUUGAACUCCCUAAUCCCCCUAGAGAUGUGACAAAUUCUAACUCAUGGAAUUCAACUCAAAUUACAUUACAAAAUGGGAGAUACUAAGACCAUAAUCCUGAGUUUUGUUGGAUGAAAUAAUGUGACAUGAAGUACUUUGUAAUUCUCCCUUAAUGCUAGGUAUUAUGUAUUAUUUUAAUUAUUAUUUUGGGAAGCAGUUUCAGGUUGGAGAAAUAAACCCUAGAUUAUGGAAUAUUUGGUAACUAGGUGGCCUUAGUCCUGAAGCCUGAAAUCCUAAAGACACUUCUUGUUAAAAAUUACAGGGCAGGGAGAACUACAGUUCAUAAAGGGCAUCUAAGAAAAAAACACCUUCACCCAAAAUGUAUUAACUAGGCAACAGCAAAAGCUUAC